UCUCUCGUAGCUUAGUGGUUAGAGCAUUUGUGCGUAAUGUCGAAUGUCCCGGGUUCGAUUCCUGGCGAGGAAG
rfam:Agrilus planipennis Contig45176, whole genome shotgun sequence.